AGAGGCAGCAGAGUGUCGGGAUCUCCAGCAGCUCCGCUACGUAUAUUAUCACUGACCCUUCGUUUGAGAGCUGCUGCGACAAGAUGACAAACACAAUACGCGUAACUGUCCAGCUACACACCCCUCCUCCCAUCCAGCGGUGCGCUGCGUCCACAUCUACAUCUGGGAAGGACCGCAACCAGAGGGAUUUGUCUCUGCUGCGUCGCAGGCUCCAGGAUCUGGAGAGCACCCAGCAGAUGCGGCUGGAGAAACUGGGAUCUGUGGUGCAGACUGACCGGGCCCCAGCCUGACCUCUGACCCCUACACUGCUUUCAUUUGCAAUAAUACGAGCCCAGGGUUCCAAUUAAGACACAAACAGUGUGUUGUUGUUUUUUUACCAAAUACUUUGAACGUUUAUUGAUGCAUUUACAUGUCUCGCUACUGGGAUGGUAAUCCACCUCAGGAUUUGAUGCUGUUGUUAUACUUUUGCUCUGGAGUCACAGAGUUGAUACAAAAGUUGAACAGGCUUUAAUUACACACUGUUUAUACCGACUGGAUGUCACGUCCACCCUGCUUCACGUGAAUGAUAUUGAUAAAAGACUAUGAUUUACUGAUAAACACUUUUGGUGACA